AAUUAUAAAUUACUAAAUCUAUUAAACAUUCCACAAUGAAAACUUUGCUAUUAGUGAUUUAAAGUUAUGUUAUAAAAAGAUACAAAUGAUCAAAAAACCAAUAUGAGUGAAAAAAUUAUUUAAUAGAUAUCAAUAUUAAAAAUAUACUAUAUAUCUAUGUUAAUAUCAUUUAAAUUUAGUUAUAUAUCAUAUAAAAUAGAAAAAAGUGUGUGUUUGGAUUAACAAAAAAAUUUAUGUAUUCAUGCCAAUUUAAUUAUAUAUAUAAUCGUUACUGAAUUACUAAUUAUUCAAUAUAUAUUUAUUAUUUCAUAAUAUGUAUUUAAUACGUGAAAAUAAGCUAUUAACACAAAAAGACACAUUUUGUGUAUUUAUUACACUGAAAAGCACAAUGUACUACUAAGGUGCUUUCCAAUGGUUGAAGACUUGUUUGCCCUCUAAAAGUUAAACUAAGGAUGGGUAUCUAGGUAAUUAGCCAUUUUCUUUCUAGUUGGGCUGGUUAGAAGAUUUAAAUUUUGAAAAUUGUUUAGUUUGAAGUUGUGGACACGAAAAUGAAGCUAUAAUUUGGGUUUUUUAUUUACCUGAGGCACGUUAAAAAAUAUAUGGGUUGGUAAUUUUUUUUCCAUCGGUUUCGGUACAACACAGAGAGGUUCCGUUGGAGAGAGCGACGAACGAGAUUUCUUGCGGAGAAUGUUUUAACGACCGGAGGUUGACGGAGAAGAAGAUGUCACCGCGAAAGAAGCGAACUGUUAAGGGAAAAAAUAAAGAGAUGACGCAAACAGAGGAGGGAGCCAUCAAGUCGAGUUUAAAUCAGAAACUCUGUUUUUUCAAGAGAAACAGAGCACCUUCGCAAUCACUCCACAUGUUCAUAAAUAACCAGAAAUUUAUCAGUUGGUAAUACAUAGCCAAAACGUAAUCUACGUGUACACAUUUUUUCAAAGUCUACAUGUACAAGAAUCGCAAAGCUUCAUAAUAGUAUCCACAUGUACACUUUUUCUUAA